AUAAAAUAACAAAAAUAAAAAUAGGAAUAUUAACUCUUAAAGACUACUAUGGGUGAAAUUUCAUUCUAUAAAAAUCUUAUUUUUAUUUUUUAUAUAAUUUAUUUCAAUGAUAGCUUUUAAGAGUUAAACAACCAAAAUAUUGAAAAACAAAAAAUUAACGAAAAUGAAGAAAAAGAAAUAAUUACGAAAGAAAGAAAUUGUAUAAUAGUAAUAAGAUCGCUAGUUGCCGAAAAUACAGUUUGUAAAAAUUGGGAAGAAGAGUGUGUGUCGAUUAACAGGACUACAAAGGAGCGGAUGGUGCUUACCAAAGACGGGCAGGAGCCUGGGUCAAGUUGUUUGGAUGUAUACAUCUUCUCUCUCUCUCUCCUCUCUUUUUCUACAUCUGAACGAGUCUCUCCACUCUUGAUACAUUAUCAAUGGAUGAAACGUAGCAUGGCUCUGCGAGUCACUGAAAAGCGGAAAUCAAACUAAAUGGGGCUCAGCACUUGCACUCUGCGACGAUAUUAUCGGGAACGACAUUACCGAUAGUUCACCAUUCGUGACGUUAAUGCAGCAAAUCGCUUCGCGAUAAUUGGCUCGUACGUCACUUCCAGGUACGUCAGUAAAAGGAAUUGAACGCGGCAGAGUGCAGAUCUUGGCCACGGGAUUGUGCUUAGAAGGAUGAUAACACGAUACUUAAUAAUCAUGACGACCAAGUGGUAUUGAGGCUAAGGUGUACAAGAAGUAAUAAUCGGGAAUAUAUGAUGAGAUAUAUUUUCGGUUGCUAUUUUAAAUGCAGACAGCCAGCGACAAAUGGGAAACAAAUGUUGAGCGGAGUUGUGUCUGCAGGAUACUCAGGGUACUGGACCUGGAAAGCAGGACCUGGAAACAAAGGAUUAAGAUAUCCUCUUCCAUCGUGGUAGACGAAGAUGUCCUCCGGCGACUCCACGUUGACGUCGAUCCCUUGGUACGCUGAGGUUUUCUUCACUGGCUGUCUAACCUUACUUCACUACGAGAAUAUCUCACCUGUAUCGCUAGAGAGACCGAGGUGGCGGUACACAUCACACGUUGCACUGAUGAUAAACCUCGAGGCAUUCGAGGAUACUCUUCCUUUUUACACAGGUGCAACUCUAUCUCUUAUAGAGAAAAACUUUCAUUGCUGCACCACCACCUCUUUCAUAAUACUUUUCUGGCGUCGACGUACCGGAAGAACGAUCAUCAGAUCCUUAUUUAUUACACUUAAAUUAUAUAAUUUAUUCUGCUGAUAAUAUAAAUAGAGAUUAUAGAGAUUAUAUAUAUAAAAGAGAGAUUAAAAUGUGAUAUUAGGUAUGUGAUAUAAGUAAUGUGAUAAUGUGAUAAGAAAAGAUUUCAAAAAUGUUUAUUAAUUUAAAAUUAUAUCGGUUGGUUCGUUAAAACCAGCGCGUCGCCGCCAGAGGCAACAGAGUAACAGUAACAAACAUGAUGGGAGGUGUCGCGAUGACGGCAAUUCGACUAUUCCCCUUAGUCUCACUUGAUCACCUUCAAGACACCAAGGCUAAGAAAGGUCAAUUAUAGGAGGAACGAGUGUAACACAAAAAACGCUGUGAGUCAAAAGGGUUUUUGUUUUUGGUGGUGAGGUGUUGAAGAGUCUCUUUUCUUCAAAGUCAGGGCCCAGAGGGUUUGCGUUCAAAAAUUCUACACCGGCGACAUAAUACAUAUAAGUCGAGGUUUGAUCCGACGAAUAUUAAACGUCAGAUCCAGAGAAGGAAAGAAAACUAGAAAGUUAAAAGGGUUUUUUUGGGGGGGGGCGGGGCGUUGGUGAUAUGUCGCGAUAUAUCGCAAAACGUAGCCGGGACGAGUUUGACAUGUACCGACAGGAAUAAUGGAAGAAUUCUCAAACAAUUUUUUCUUCCUUAAACGGAGAGAGAAAAAAACGAAUCAGAUAUAAGAAACGUUGGAUGAUCGAUGGAAGAUUGGUCUAUACUCGUUCGGAUAUAAGUAUACUAUAUAUAUGAUGAUAUCUGUCAAGUGAAAAAUUUAUCAGUUUAUAUCCAAAUAAAGCAUUUAUUCAUGUAUUUUUAAUAGAUUUAUUUAGCAUAAUAUUAUUGUUAGAAAAAUAUUAUUAUAUUUAGCAAACAAAAAAUAUAGAAUAUUGGAUCUUUACUCUGAUUUUAAUUUUCAGGAUAACGUAUUUUACAUGUUGAAAUUUUUUCAUUAACAAUGUGAGAAAAUUUAUUUAUACAGUAACUAUUUCUUAUUUUAUUUUUAUAUUAAAUUUGUAAUUAAAUAUGUUUAUAAAUGUACUAUUAAAUAAUAAAUAUAAUAAAUAUAAUAUAUUUAGACUGAAUUUAUUAAUAUAUAAAUACUGUUUGUAGUUAUUAUAUUAUAGGUAAAAUAUUUAAUUAUUUAUUGAAUAUAUGUAAAAAUUUAAUAAAAUU